rfam:Synechococcus sp. KORDI-100, complete genome.
GUCUGUAAGAUCGUGAAUUCUCCGUGGAUCGUCGGCGGGCGAACCAUGGACAUUCUCGUACUGCCCUCCCGAGGCAGACCGCCAU